rnacentral:rRNA from 1 species
GCGUGUGUGAAGAAGGCCUGCGGGUUGUAAAGCACUUUCAAUUGGGAAGAAAAGGUUAGGGCUAAUACCCCUGAUUCUUGACGUUACCUUUAGAAGAAGCACCGGCUAACUCCGUGCCAGCAGCCGCGGUAAUACGGAGGGUGCAAGCGUUAAUCGGAAUUACUGGGCGUAAAGCGCGCGUAGGCGGUUUGUUAAGUCAGAUGUGAAAGCCCCGGGCUCAACCUGGGAACUGCAUUUGAUACUGGCGAGCUAGAGUAUGGUAGAGGGAAGUGGAAUUCCGGGUGUAGCGGUGAAAUGCGU